rnacentral:lncRNA from 1 species
UCCUUUGACAAACAGCAAUAGAUCAUCAGCAAAGCUUAGGUGAGUUAUUCCCAGUUUUUUAAACUAGGAUGAAAUGUGAAGCCUUUAGCUUGCCUCAACUCAGCCAGAGAUCGACUAAGGUAUUCCAUCACAAUAGCAAACAGAAAGUGAGAUAUGGGAUCCCCUUGUCUCAAUUCUUUGGCAGCUUGAAAGGGUUCUGUUGUUUCCCCAUUAACUACCACUGUAUAGCUGACAGUUUGGACACACUCCAUGAUCCAUCUUGUAAAUCUGGUAGGAAAAUCCAGAGCUUCCAUAACCUGCUGCAAAUAACACCAUNN